rnacentral:rRNA from 1 species
CAGGCCUUAACACAUGCAAGUCGAGGGGCAGCAUGAGGUUUGCUUGCAAACCUUGAUGGCGACCGGCGCACGGGUGCGUAACGCGUAUCCAACCUUCCAGCUACUAGGGAAUAGCCCGUUGAAAGACGGAUUAAUGCCCUAUGUGUUCAUUAGAUGGCAUCAGAUGUUGAACAAAGAUUCAUCGGUAGCUGAUGGGGAUGCGUAUGAUUAGCUAGUCGGCGGGGUAACGGCCCACCGAGGCUACGAUCAUUAGGGGUUCUGAGAGGAAGGUCCCCCACACUGGUACUGAGACACGGACCAGACUCCUACGGGAGGCAGCAGUGAGGAAUAUUGGUCAAUGGGCGAGAGCCUGAACCAGCCAAGUAGCGUGCAGGACGACGGCCCUAUGGGUUGUAAACUGCUUUUAUGCGGGGAUAAAGUUCACUACGUGUAGUGUUUUGCAGGUACCGCAUGAAUAAGGACCGGCUAAUUCCGUGCCAGCAGCCGCGGUAAUACGGAAGGUCCGGGCGUUAUCCGGAUUUAUUGGGUUUAAAGGGAGCGUAGGCUGGGGUAUAAGCGUGACGUGAAAUGUAGUUGCCCAACAUCUGCACUGCGUCGCGAACUGUUCCUCUUGAGUGAGUUGAAAGCCGGCGGAAUUCGUGGUGUAGCGGUGAAAUGCUUAGAUAUCACGAAGAACUCCGAUUGCGAAGGCAGCUGGCUGUACCUUUACUGACGCUGAAGCUCGAAGGUGCGGGUAUCGAACAGGAUUAGAUACCCUGGUAGUCCGCACGGUAAACGAUGGAUGCUCGCUGUCUGCCUUUUUUUUGGCAG